AUAACCGUUGAGUUCCCAAAGCCCAAAAGGCAGGACCAGUACUGGUACUAGAACUAGAAGUAGAGUGUCUUCUCGGUUGAAGCUUGCAAAGGGUGCAUGCCAUUUCUACACAUGGCAAACCGAAGGUAGCUUCAAAAAAGUCUUCGAGGACUAAACCGUCAAUACGCAGCAGUUGGCCAAUUGAAGGGGGAAACUGAACCCUCAAAAGAGGGGUGAAAAAGAAAAAAGAUAAGGGGAAUUCGUAAAAAAGGAUUUUGUUUGCGUAUCUGGGGCGUGGACUUUUUUGCUGAAGUUCAGAUCCGCGAAGCGAAGCGAAGCAAAAGCAGAAACGAAAAAAACAGACGCAACAGAAAAGAGAGACAAAAGAAGAAAGAAACAUAUUAGAGAGAGAGAGAGAGCGCAAAAAUCAAUGGCUGAGAAAGAAGAGCCGCCACCACCGUCAACGUCAUCGUUAGCAUCAUCGCAGGCGUCGAAAUCGACGGCUAAUAAUCUUCCUUCACGUCCUACGAUCACUCUGCCACCGCGUUCCUCCAUGGAGACGCUAUUCAGCGGUGGUGGUGGUGGUGGUGGGGGGCCGGGCUUGGGUGGGCUGGGCUUCAGCCCGGGGCCCAUGACGCUGCUCUCCAGCUUCUUCUCCGAUACCGACGAUUGCAGGUCCUUCUCUCAGCUCCUCGCCGGAGCCAUGGCUUCGCCGGCGUCUAUUCCUUCCCAGCAGCGCCAGGGCUUCCCGCCUCCGGACGACAGAAGUUCCGACGCCGGAGAUGACGACUUUCGGUUCAGGCCGAAUCGACCGCCGAUUUUCACGGUUCCGCCGGGGUUGAGCCCCGCCGGCUUGCUCGACUCGCCGGGGUUGUUCUCGCCGGGCCAGGGACCCUUUGGAAUUACACACCAGCAAGCUCUGGCACAGGUCACAGCUCAGGCUGCACAAGCCUAUUCCCAUAUGCACGUCGAACCUGAUUACUCAUCUUCGUUAUCAGCGGCACCUGCUACGUCAUUAACACAGCUUCCAGCCUUUAUAUCCAACGCAACUGCACAUCAGCAGGUGCCACCCUCAGUACCAGAGUCCAGUGUUGCAAUGAAUGAAUCAUCGGAUGUCUCCCAUUCUGGUCAGAGAUCCCAACCUUCUACGUUCACUGUUGAUAACCCUGCUGCUGAUGGCUACAACUGGCGGAAAUACGGGCAGAAGCAGGUGAAAGGUAGUGAAUUCCCUCGAAGCUAUUACAAAUGCACACAUCCAAAUUGUCCUGUCAAGAAAAAGGUUGAGCGCUCUCUUGAAGGCCAAGUAACCGAAAUAAUUUACAAGGGCCAGCACAACCAUCAACCACCUCAAACCAAUAAGCGUGCAAAGGAUACUGGAAAUCCAAAUGGAAAUUCCAAUAGUCAGGGAAAUCAGGACUUGGCUUCCCAAGUUCAAAGUGGGAAUUCAAACAAAUUGAAAGGAGGGAUAGCUCCUUAUUCAAUGUCUAAGAAGGGUCAGGAAUCUAGCCAAGCUACACCUGAACACUUAUCUGGGACAAGUGAUAGUGAGGAAGUGGGUGAUGCUGAAACUGGAGUAGACGAAAGAGAUGAAGAUGAAGAUGAACCCAACCCAAAGAGACGAAGUGCAGAGGUCAAGGUUUCAGAGCCAUCUGCUUCACAUAGGACUGUCACAGAGCCUAGAAUCAUUGUGCAGACGACUAGUGAAGUGGAUCUUUUAGAUGACGGGUAUAGGUGGCGCAAGUAUGGACAGAAAGUGGUCAAAGGCAAUCCUUACCCAAGGAGCUAUUAUAAAUGCACAAGCCCAGGAUGUAACGUCCGUAAGCACGUUGAGAGGGCUGCAGCAGAUCCUAAAGCUGUCAUUACAACAUACGAGGGAAAACAUAAUCAUGACGUACCAGCCGCUAAAAGUAGCAGCCACAACACAGCCACAAGCACUGCAUCGCAACCUAAACCAGACAAUGUGGUAGCCGAGAAGCAUGCCUUAAUGAACCAGAUGGAUCUUAGGAACAAUGAUCAACAGCCAAUAGCGCGCUCGCGAUUGAAAGAAGAACAGAUAACAUAGCGUCUGUGUUGUGAAUGUGAAGAGCAGUGGGUGACAAAUCACACGAAAUUUUGCCAACUAUCAGGCAAAAGCUGUAGUUUGGUCCGAAUAUUAUGCAAGAAACAUCUCGAUCAUGUGGGAGUCUUUGGUGUUGCUGUAGUUCAAUACAAUCCCCGAUCUUCUGGUGUCUAACUUUACUGGAUAAGAUGUUUAUUCAUUGUAGACUAGUCAAUAGAGUGCCUGCAGAGAGGACUUAAUGAGACUGAUUUUGCAAUAUGCCUUCUUCCAAUUCUGCCAGCUUAAAUUUGAUGCAAGUCUGGGCAGCAGCAUAAUCUUUUACCGCAUGAUGCAUAAAUCUUAUCUUGGGAUGAUACAAUGAUCAAAUAUGGAGCACAAACUUCAUCACGCAA